rnacentral:rRNA from 1 species
UACGUAGGGUGCGAGCGUUAAUCGGAAUUACUGGGCGUAAAGCGCUCGCAGGUGGUUCGUCGCGUCGUGCGUGAAAGACCCCGGCUCAACUGGGGGGCGUCGUGCGAAACGGGCGGACUGGAGGCCAGUAGGGGGAUGCGGAAUUCCGGGUGUAGUGGUGGAAUGCGUAGAGAUCCGGAGGAACACCAGCGGCGAAGGCGGCAUCCUGGACUGGUCCUGACACUCAUGAGCGAAAGCGUGGGGAGGCGAGUCCGG